rnacentral:misc_RNA from 1 species
AAGGAUCAUUAUCGAAUAAACUUGAACAGGCUGUUGCUGGUCCCAGGACAAUGUGCACGCUUGUCAUCUUUAUCAUUUCUCCCAACUGUGCACAUAUUGUAGACCCUGGAUUUGUUCCGAGUGGGGACUGCUGUGCUUCAAAAGAAGUCGGCUUUCCCCUUGAAGGUCUAUGUUCAUUUUUCACAACCUCUGGAAUGUGUUUAGAAUGUUGAAAUAAAGAAAAGUUAAUAAAAUACAACUUUCAGCAACGGAUCUCUUGGCUCUCGCAUCGAUGAAGAACGCAGCGUAGCCACGCAUCGAUGUGGAAGUAAAAGUCGUAACAAG